CAUGGAUUUGAUUUACCCCUUCAUGUUUUCACUUGAUUAUGAACCCCUGGAUAUGUUACAUGCCUUUCUCCAAGUUAAAUUAAAAUCAGCUGUCUGUGGGCACGAAUGCAGUGAGU